rnacentral:rRNA from 1 species
GCCUGCCCAGUGAACAUUAAACGGCCGCGGUACCCUAACCGUGCAAAGGUAGCAUAAUCAUUUGUCUAUUAACUGUAGACCUGUAUGAAAGGCAAAAUGAGGGUUUAACUGUCUCUUAUAGUAAAUCUAUAAAACUGAUCUACCAGUAAAAAAGCUGGAAUGUAUCCAUAAGACCAGAAGACCCUGUGAAGCUUUAACUAUACUAUUAAACCAAAUAAUAGCUACUUUGGGUUGGGGCGACCUUGGAAAUAAAAAGAACUUCCAACAAACACUCACCAGGCCUACAAGCCAAUCAACGACCCAGUAAAACUGAUAAUUGAACCAAGUUACUCCAGGGAUAACAGCGCCAUCUUCUUCAAGAGCCCAUAUCAAAAAGAAGGUUUACGACCUCGAUGUUGGAUCAGGACACCCCAAUGGUGCAACCGCUAUUAAAGGUUCGUUUGUUCAACGAUUAAUGUCCUACGUGAUCUG